rnacentral:rRNA from 1 species
AAUAGAUACCCCGGUAGUCCACCCCGUAAACGUUGGAAACUAGUUGUGGGGACCAUUCCACGGUUUCCGUGACGCAGCUAACGCAUUAAGUUCCCCGCCUGGGGAGUACGGCCGCAAGGCUAAAACUCAAAGGAAUUGACGGGGACCCGCACAAGCGGCGGAGCAUGCGGAUUAAUUCGAUGCAACGCGAAGAACCUUACCAAGGCUUGACAUAUACGAGAACGGGCCAGAAAUGGUCAACUCUUUGGACACUCGUAAACAGGUGGUGCAUGGUUGUCGUCAGCUCGUGUCGUGAGAUGUUGGGUUAAGUCCCGCAACGAGCGCAACCCUCGUUCUAUGUUGCCAGCACGUAAUGGUGGGAACUCAUGGGAUACUGCCGGGGUCAACUCGGAGGAAGGUGGGGAUGACGUCAAAUCAUCAUGCCCCUUAUGUCUUGGGCUUCACGCAUGCUACAAUGGCCGGUACAAAGGGCUGCAAUACCGUAAGGUGGAGCGAAUCCCAAAAGCCGGUCCCAGUUCGGAUUGAGGUCUGCAACUCGACCUCAUGAAGUCGG